GCCCUGGGAUAGCUCAGCUGCUACAGCAUGAGACUCUUCAUCUCAUGGUUGUGGGUUCGAACCCCACGUUGGGCA